UCGACGAUGAAUCUUCUAGCUUGCUAGAAGUGGAUUAGUGGCGCACGGGUGAGUAAUGCAUAGGUUAUGUGCCCUUUAGUCUGGGAUAGCCACUGGAAACGGUGAUUAAUACUGGAUACUCCCUACGGGGGAAAGUUUUUCGCUAAAGGAUCAGCCUAUGUCCUAUCAGCUUGUUGGUGAGGUAAUGGCUCACCAAGGCUAUGACGGGUAUCCGGCCUGAGAGGGUGAUCGGACACACUGGAACUGAGACACGGUCCAGACUCCUACGGGAGGCAGCAGUAGGGAAUAUUGCUCAAUGGGGGAAACCCUGAAGCAGCAACGCCGCGUGGAGGAUGAAGGUUUUAGGAUUGUAAACUCCUUUUGUUAGAGAAGAUUAUGACGGUAUCUAACGAAUAAGCACCGGCUAACUCCGUGCCAGCAGCCGCGGUAAUACGGAGGGUGCAAGCGUUACUCGGAAUCACUGGGCGUAAAGAGUGCGUAGGCGGGGUAAUAAGUCAGAUGUGAAAUCCUGUAGCUUAACUACAGAACUGCAUUUGAAACUGUUACUCUGGAGUGUGGGAGAGGUAGGUGGAAUUCUUGGUGUAGGGGUAAAAUCCGUAGAGAUCAAGAGGAAUACUCAUUGCGAAGGCGACCUGCUGGAACAUUACUGACGCUGAUGCACGAAAGCGUGGGGAGCAAACAGGAUUAGAUACCCUGGUAGUCCACGCCCUAAACGAUGGAUGCUAGUUGUUGCCUUGCUUGUCAGGGCAGUAAUGCAGCUAACGCAUUAAGCAUCCCGCCUGGGGAGUACGGUCGCAAGAUUAAAACUCAAAGGAAUAGACGGGGACCCGCACAAGCGGUGGAGCAUGUGGUUUAAUUCGAAGAUACGCGAAGAACCUUACCUAGGCU
rnacentral:rRNA from 1 species